GGGGUUGUAGCUCAGUGGUAGAGUGCUUGCCUAGCACGUGUGAGGCACUGAAUUCAAUCCUCAGCACCACA
rnacentral:tRNA from 1 species